GCCUCUUUAGCUUAGUGGUAGAGCACUGAUCUUGUGAACCAGAGGUCGUGGGUUCAAAUCUCACAGGAGGCA